rnacentral:rRNA from 1 species
GUGAGGAAUAUUGGUCAAUGGGCGAGAGCCUGAACCAGCCAAGUCACGUGAAGGAUGAAGGUUUUAUGAAUUGUAAACUUCUUUUGCAGGGGAAUAAAGUACGGUACGUGUACCGUUUUGUAUGUACUCUGCGAAUAAGGAUCGGCUAACUCCGUGCCAGCAGCCGCGGUAAUACGGAGGAUCCAAGCGUUAUCCGGAUUUAUUGGGUUUAAAGGGUGCGCAGGCGGGUUGAUAAGUCAGCGGUGAAAGUUUGCAGCUUAACUGUAAAAUUGCCGUUGAAACUGUCGAUCUUGAGUGCAAAUGAGGUAAGCGGAAUGUGUUGUGUAGCGGUGAAAUGCUUAGAUAUAACACAGAACACCGAUUGCGAAGGCAGCUUACUGGGAUGCAACUGACGCUCAUGCACGAAAGCGUGGGGAUCAAACAGGAUUAGAUACCCUGGUAGUCC